UGUGUGCCCGCACAUAUGCAUACUAUUUUCCCUCCRCCACUUCCCUCCCACUCUGAGCUGCCUUCCUCCCCACACUGCCCUUGAGUCAAGAGGUCAAUGAUACCACUUCUUUUUUCAUCAGUCACUCUUUUCUGCCUGUGUUUUAUCCUCUAGUUGUUGCUUUCCUUUUUUCCAGUGGAGGGGCAGCAGGAGUCAUUUGGCGAAUUUAAUGUUUUUCUGGGAAGGAAAGGAUAAGACUUAAAAAAACAGGAUGCCUUCAGGCAAAAUGUGAUAUUCAAUCAAAAUUCAUUUUCGUAAGGGAGGGGAUUUUUCUUACCAGGGAGGGAAUUUGCCCCAACAGAGCAGUUUUACCCACAUUCCUCUCAAACGAGGAGCCUGUGUGCAAUCCRUGUCAGGGAAGAUCAGGGACUGAAUGAUCAGUUGCCAUCAUGAAAUAAUCCAGCUUCCCAGAGGUAGAGGAAGAGAAUGGAGUUGCACAUGGCCUUGAAAACAAGAAGGAAAAGGAGAGAAGGAAGUGCCAGGUUGUUCCUGUCUAAGUGGGGAGCGUUGCAGGGUCCCUGGUGACUGUGUGACCAGCAAACACCCUCRCUGAGAGCUGUGGCCCAGGCAAGAGCAGCCCUGUGUCUGCAGCAGCUGCCACUCGGAGGGGAUAUGCUUGAGGAGAACYGGGCCUGUGGAGCUGUAUUAACUGGCAUUUCAAAGACUCAUAGAGAAUCCUGAAUUCAGAGACCAAAGGGAGAGCACUGUUGCUGGGAAAAGAGAGGAGGUUCAAAACUCAAGGGGCUUCAUGAUGCUGUGAUUCUGUAAGAACACGAAGGGAAGAAUUUCAGUGGCUGAGCUGCAAAGUCAGCCUGUGGCCAUCYUGCAGAGGAGCUGAAGUUCACAAGAAGUGGCUGAUGUUUGUACCCUAUGCCAAAGGAUGGUACAGACCAACACAGCACAGCUACUUUUUGCCAGCAAGGUAUUUCUUCCAGUGUCCUUUUGACUGCCUUCAGAUGAACCAUAUGAAAGCAGGUGURGAAAUGUGCUUCAGAGUAAUAUGGRUCAGGUGAAUGGGAUGCAUUUCWCCCGAUCAAAUGGGACCUUGGAAAUCAACAACAAGGCAAAUGCCAAAUGCAGCAGGGAGGAGAGUCAGCAGGAGGAAAGCAAGAUAAAAAGUUACAAUAUAGCUGGGAGGAAGAAGGCAGAUCCCUUGGGUCUAUUGCUGUUUCCUGGAUUUAGCACCCUGCUGCUUCACAGAAGGAGACCUCAGCCUGGUUGGAUAGAGCUGGGCACCAGCAUUUAAUAUUCCCAGAAGGAGUGCAAAUGACUCAGGCUUGGAGCUGUAAUUCACCUUUCUCAAAGUGCUAGGAUUCUUUGGAGUCGAGUUGCUGUGCACAGUCAUUGUUGGUGGCCCACAGAGAGCACUGUUCCUAUUGCCUGGCUGGAUUAAUGCCCUUGUGAAAUAUUUGUGAUCACAKCUCUGUUAAUUGCACUAGAAUGGGAACAGAAWAGUCUCCAAACAGUGAGCAUCUAUUUUUAAG